rnacentral:tRNA from 11 species
CGUGCUGGGGUUUGAACUCCCUACAUCUGACAUCCGAGGCCAGCACGUUAUCGCUACUCCACCAGCAC